GGCAGCCCACUUCCUCUCUGCACACUCCCAAAGGAAGUCUUCCCAAGACUGAGCCCUGAAGAUCUAUGCUCAGCUACCGUUCACAGCUCCUUUCCUCUCCGUAUAGAACCAGCACCCAAUGGUUUUUUCCAGCCCUUGGAACAUUUUUGCAACCCUUAGAAAGCUCUUGGAAAAAACGCCUUUGAUGGUGGUGACUGAGGGGAACAAAGUGCCCCAAAGAGCAACUGCAAGGGCCGGAUGGGGCAGUAGCUCCCUCAGUGAGAGGGGACAGUACUGGGCAGUUGCUCUCUCAGUGAAGAGCCAAGAGGAAGAGGAGCCCAAAGACCAGCGCACUCCUCAUCGGUACCCUUUUGCCAGUGACUCUCCCCUUUCCCAUCCAACAAGGUGGAGUCUUUGUCCUUCAAGAGGCCCAGAGCUCAGGAGGAACCUGCUUCUAUGAGAUGGAUUUUCUCCACGGCCUGAAAGGCAAGAGGAUCAUAAAUGUGCCAAUGGAAUUCAGAUUUCCCAAGUUGUUCAACCACCACAAUAAAGCUAAAAGCAAAACUCCGCUGGAAGGGAGCGGAGACUUUAAUGCAGGAGGCUGCGCGGCAGUGAGAAGACGAAUCGGGCCUCUGACAGCCCCUCCUCUGCAAAUGGAUUUGGCUGCAGUGAGCUGGGCCCUUGCAGCACGGCAAGACUGAGCCCUGUGGCUGAGCUGGGUGGCUCACCCCUGGGAGGGCGUGGCCACACCCAGAAGAGAACACUGCUGAGCCCUGAGGGCAGCACCCAGCCACCAAGCACCAAGUUUUCUCAUAAGGCCCAUGGGCAGUUUAAACUCCAUCCUUGGGGCUGGCCCCAUGGCCAAGUGGUUAAGUUCGUGCGCUCCUGCUGCGGGUGGCCCAGGGUUUCGCCAGUUCGAAUCCUGGGCGCAGACAAGGCACCGCUUAUCAAGCCACGCUGAGGCAGCAUCCCACAUGCCAGAACUAGAAGGACCCACAACUAAAAAAAUACACAACUAUACGCUGGGGGGCUUUGGGGAGAAAAAGGAAAAAUAAAAUCUUAAAAAAAAAAAACAAAAAAACUCCAUCCUGGUCUUGCGACCAGUUCCAGAGUGGCUGGGACCCACGGUCCAUCUUGUAGGCAAGGUGAGGAGCUGGGCCCUGGCAGGUACAGAGGGAAGUGGCCAAUAUAGUGGUCACAGCUGGGCUUAGUGCGGAAUGCACGCCAGUCUGACUGGUCCCCCACUCACUCCUCCUCUGGCCCUUGGCUGGUGGCGUUGGGGAACUUGAUGCUGUGACACUCUCGUCCCCUCACCCCCGUUGUGGACAGCAGUGGGAAG
rnacentral:lncRNA from 1 species